GAAGCUGAGAAACUGCUGGAGCGCCAGGGUCAGGCAAAAACCCCUGACUCCAUGUUCUUGGCCAUGCUAGCUGUAGUGUCCUGUGCGUCUAUAGGAUCAGGUGAACCACCAACCAGCAAUUGAAAGCUGCACAGCCUGAAAUUACCUUUAUUCAAUUAAUGCAAAAACAAAAAGGGGGAGAUGUUGGAGGCCGAAGGAAUGAGGGUCGUGACCAACUCAAUAUACCACUGGAGGCUCUAUGAGCGAACAGCAAACUGUUCUCAUGAAAGCAAGAUGCUGGCAAACUGACAAACUGUGUCUGCCACCAGAAGGAAUGCUGGGGGCAGUCAUGUCCCAGGUCCCAUGCUCCUUGAGGUUAUCUACAGGAACAUCUAGAACCUGUUGAACAAAGAAAGCAAUCAUGUGGGCCUGUGUUAAAUAGCUGACUGACAGUUACCCCUUCCUCCCUAUUCACUCUACCUAAUAAAUAUGAAGGGCUGUAAAAGCUCAGGGCCCUUGUUCCCUAGAAUCAAGGAGCCCCCUGACCCCUUCUUUCAAACAGAUCCUUUUGUCUUUGUCUCAUUUCUGCAUUCAUCCUCCUCCGUUCAGUCCAGAAGCAACCGUGACAGUCCUGCAUGUGUUGAUGCCACCUGUCUGUGCAGGUGUGACCUCAGGUGUGUGAGUAUCCCUUAUACUUGUUAUCAUCACUGCCUAUUUGCUCUUCCUCCAGCCUCUGGCAACCACUAAUCCACGUUAUGUGUCUAGAUUUGCCUCUUCUGGAUACUUCAUAUAAAUGAAGUUAUACA